rnacentral:misc_RNA from 1 species
AUCAAGAAGAAUAUUGUGAGGCUUAAUGUCAAAAUGUACGAUCCUUGUGUUGCAUCCACGGUGCAAGUACUCAAGUCCUCGAGCUAUUCCUAUGGCAAUUUGAUGCAUAGUUUCCCAUCCCAAAUGCUGAUCUAUUUUGAAAGUACUUCCAUGGCAUAUGAACUUUUCAAGAGAUCCAUUUGACAUAAACUCGUAAAUUAGAGCUCUUUUCUUACCCUCCA